CCCUUAGAUGUUCUGGACCGCACGCGUGCUACACUGGGUGGAUCAGCGGGUCAGGUUGCGCGAAAGUGUUUCCUAAUCUUUAAAUCCGCUCGUGAUGGGGAUUGACGGUUGCAAUUUUCCGUCAUGAACGAGGAAUGCCUAGUAAACGCAAGUCAUCAGCUUGCAUUGAUUACGUCCCUGCCCUUUGUACACACCGCCCGUCGCUCCUACCGAUUGAAUGAUCCGAUGAAUAUCAUGGAUUGAGGAUGCAAGUAGGUUAGCCUAUCUUCAUCUUCGAGAAGUGAAGUAAAUCUUAUCAUUUAGAGGAAGGAGAAGUCGUAACA
rnacentral:rRNA from 1 species